rnacentral:rRNA from 2 species
AAUUGAGGGGGGCUGCUCCUAGUACGAGAGGACCGGAGUGGACGCAUCACUGGUGUUCGGGUUGUCAUGCCAAUGGCACUGCCCGGUAGCUAAAUGCGGAAAAGAUAAGUGCUGAAAGCAUCUAAGCACGAAACUUGCCCCGAGAUGAGUUCUCCCUGAGACCUUGAGUCUCCUGAAGGAACGUUAAAGACGAUGACGUUGAUAGGCCGGGUGUGUAAGCGCAGCGAUGCGUUGAGCUAACCGGUACUAAUGAACCGUGAGGCUUAACCUU